UAAUAGCCCUGAUGGGAGCGGCAUCCCUUUUGGGUUAAAGAGAGUUGCUAUCCCAGCAAUGUUUCCCAAAAGGAUAAAGCGCACAGCAGGAGGAAAC
rnacentral:sRNA from 1 species